rnacentral:lncRNA from 1 species
UUUUAUUUCAAUAGCAUAUCACAUCAAAUACAAUACAUCAUCCUGCAUAGUCAUCUAUUGAUUGCAAAUAAAAUGUAUAUUUUAUUUCAGUAGCAUAUAUAAUACAAUGUAUUUUUUCUUCAGAUUCACUAUUGUAGUUAUCGCUGUCACUCUCAUCACUAGAGUCUGAAUACCUCCUCUUUGACCUAUGCUUGCGCCUCCUGGCAGUCGCUCUCUGAUUCACUAUCAGAUUCUAAG